UUUCCUGGCCUCCGAAUCCACUGUGAGCUCAGCAAAUGGAGGCGCUAGGAGGAGGCUGGGACGCAGUCAGAGGAACGGAUUUCCUGGCCUCGGAACAUCCUGGUUCUUGUUUGAGGGGUAGUGGGGGAGGUCUCUCUCUCUCUCUUUUUUUUUUUAAUCAAAUACUUACAAGUCAUUUACUGGGUGUCAAGCCCUGCAGGAGUGAUUGAGUGGUCACGCAGAGACUCAGGUCCUGUCCCGGUCACCCUGACCUCAAAAGCAACGAGUAAUUCUUUUUAGGCAGCAACAUUUCUGAUGCCCAGUGCUUGAAAACUCAAGUUUGGGGAAGAAAACUCCCAGCUUUCAAGCCAAGCAAGGACCUUUGAUUUUGUUAUAAGCUCUUCAUCCAUCCUGGUGGCUUCACUUGCAAAUGUUCUUUUCAGUGAGUCACUGGUCUGGCCCAAGGUCUCUGGUUUCUGGCACACAUCAUCACUGGAUCCUCACCGGAACUCCUCUCACACAUCCCUGAGCUGCCUGGAGUCACGGAGAUCCUGCCGGUAUCGCGCCACAGGACCAGUCCCUUCACCAACUUCAGCAGGUUCUUCCUACAUAAUCCUGGCUGGCCUCGAACUCACAAUGUGAACCUCAGGCAGGGGUCCUGGCUGUCUGGAAGCUUCCUGACUAUGUCAAAGUCAUCUGCUGCUGGGUUUCAAGAGACAGGAUGUGUUCUCACGUUUCCCUUCAUGCUUAAGUCAGCUCAAGGUCAACCCUCCUGGGAGUUGUGACCCUCAAUGGCUGUUGGAGCCAUUAACUUUUAAGAGGGCCCAUUUGAACAGUUAGAAACCAUCAGCAUAUUGGGAGAUGAAGAGGCUUGGAGGCCGGGUUUUUCUCCUUAGCUGUUUUCAGAGGUGGGAGGACGGUGCGUGUGGUGGACCCUGGCCAUGGAGAAGGGUGUUCCUCUCCACCCAGGCAGCCGGGCGAUGGGAGGUUUUACAAGGCCGCUUCCUUGGACCUCAGUUUUCACAGCCACAAAAUGAAGAGAUAAAAUACCAUCAUCAUUCAUCUCCCCUUCAUCUUCAUUGCUCUACAGUCUCCGUGAGCCGUAAAGAUUUACGUAGAACUUCGUCUCGGUUUUAUUAUUCAUCGUUCAUCAUUUUCCACCGGGGCCAGUGACAGCCCGUGCAUACGGAAACAGGGCUCCAAGGAUUGCCUCUACAUGGUCUUGAGUUCCCGGGGCAAAUAACUACAUGGCCUGUGGUGUUUGCAGAGCCCUUCCGCCUCUGGGCACCCUGAGAAUGACACCAAGAACAGCAUCCGGAGAGACACACAGCCGCCAGGCAAGAUGUGGGGCACAGGGUUCUACAGUGACAGAUAGACUGAAGGAAAUCAGUGGGGUACACAGGGUAGUCCCCAGCACAGAGAGCAGCAAGCCAGGAGGGAAAGUGGCCCUGAGCCUCCGCAGUUCCGGAAGGAAUGACUCCACACACGGCACUUUUGGAAAGAAAGUGGCCCACAAAGGGAAUGGCACUAUGAGAAGGUGUGGCCUUGUUAGUAUGGUGUGCUUGUGGGUCUGUUCUUGUAGGAGGAAGUGUGUCACUGUGGGGGUGGGCCUUGAGCUUUCCUAUGCUCAGGACACUGUCCAGUGGGUCUCAGUCAGCUUCCUGUUACCUGUACAAG